UUGAUACCCCAGGUCAAACAAACAACCGCAAAACUAUUGUAUACCCUUCUACCUUAUACUAAUAUUUUUCUUUUCUAUUUCCUCAGAUUUUCCAGAACUAAAGGACAUAAACACCUUUUCGCCGUCCCAAAUCUGGUAUAAAUUACUAAAGAACCAUGACGACAUAGAUUAUUUAGAAGCCACUGAUUCUUUAAUAUCUUACGGUUUUGAUCCAUUUAAAUAUUCAAGUCUUCAAUCUUCCUGUUUAAAUAAUAUUGUAAAAAACUCAAGAAUUAGAUAUUCCAAACGAUUUACCCCCAUUUAUUACUUUAUAUAUCGAUUAUUUUGAAAAAUUACAAAGAUCAUAUCUUAGACAAAUAAAUAGCUACUUUCGUUAAAUAUGGAAAUUCUGUCAAUUUAUAAUGCUGAAUUAUAUUUACCAUUUAUUCAUCGUUUAUUAAAUUAAUUUUUUUUUACAAUAUUGCAAAAGAUUGGGCCAUUCAAGGUAGACUCCCCUUCAUUAUUAGAUAAUCCACAAAUUGCCUACCAUAGAUUCAAGUGCGCGUAUAAACGCAAAAGACUUGCACGAGCACAAAUUAAAUGUAAUAGCUCGAUGCCAUUGUGAUACAUGUAUAAAUUAUACAAGAAAUUUAAUGUGGUAUGACCCACUACCUCCGUUCAUUGAGGAAAAUUAUGUCCCUUGUUUCGUCAUGAAAGGGAAAAUCGUUAUAUAUAUAUAUAUAUUUAAUUGUACUAUAUAUGUUUUAUUUUUCAUUGUGUAUUUUAUUGUAUCAUAUAUGAAAAAAAAUAGAAACAAGACAAAAAAAAUAUUGUUUUACUAUUGUUGGUUAUUUCUUGGUGUUAGUAAAUUUAGAUUGGUGGAACAAUCUCCUUUUCAUAGGGAGAGCGAUUAUUGUAAUAGAAAAAUGCAGUUUAUUUGAUUUCAUAUAGUUUUCUGUGAAAAAUAUUUAAAAGGCAAUUAUUGUUUAACUGCUAUAUACUUUAAAAGUCAAACUUUCAUGUUCAAUUUGUGAGCGUGGGAAACAGCAAAUAGAUUUUUGGUUCAAGUAAAUGUCACGUUGUUCAAAGUGACUUUCUGUUAGUACAAAUAUUACUUAAUUUUUGCUUUUAGCUAGUUCCCUUUAUUAUAUCUUUUACCGACGUAAACAUGUCAUCUAGAAAUUAUAUAUGUUUUUUAUUUUUUUUUUUUUUUUAAUUUACGAAAUACUUUUUAAAUGUAACAAAGUUGUCCUUUUAAGUAUGUAUUAGAUGUUUGUUUUAAUGAUAGUGUCUCAUAAGUCGUUUUCGGCUGGCAUCCUUUUACUAAAUGUUAGGUUCUUAUGACUUUAUGUGUAUAUAUAUAGAUACUGUAAUGGAUGUUGACACUUUAAUAAAAUAAAUCUUAUCUUA